AGUGAACGCUGGCGGUUGGCCUAACACAUGCAAGUCGAACGGCAGCACAGGAGAGCUUGCUCUCUGGGUGGCGAGUGGCGGACGGGUGAGGAAUACAUCGGAAUCUACUCUGUCGUGGGGGAUAACGUAGGGAAACUUACGCUAAUACCGCAUACGACCUACGGGUGAAAGCAGGGGAUCUUCGGACCUUGCGCGAUUGAAUGAGCCGAUGUCGGAUUAGCUAGUUGGCGGGGUAAAGGCCCACCAAGGCGACGAUCCGUAGCUGGUCUGAUAGGAUGAUCAGCCACACUGGAACUGAGACACGGUCCAGACUCCUACGGGAGGCAGCAGUGGGGAAUAUUGGACAAUGGGCGCAAGCCUGAUCCAGCCAUACCGCGUGGGUGAAGAAGGCCUUCGGGUUGUAAAGCCCUUUUGUUGGGAAAGAAAUCCAGCUGGCUAAUACCCGGUUGGGAUGACGGUACCCAAAGAAUAAGCACCGGCUAACUUCGUGCCAGCAGCCGCCGUAA
rnacentral:rRNA from 1 species